rnacentral:rRNA from 1 species
AGUGAACGCUGGCGGUAGGCCUAACACAUGCAAGUCGAACGGCAGCACAGUAAGAGCUUGCUCUUACGGGUGGCGAGUGGCGGACGGGUGAGGAAUACAUCGGAAUCUACUUUUUCGUGGGGGAUAACGUAGGGAAACUUACGCUAAUACCGCAUACGACCUACGGGUGAAAGCAGGGGAUCUUCGGACCUUGCGCGAUUGAAUGAGCCGAUGUCGGAUUAGCUAGUUGGCGGGGUAAAGGCCCACCAAGGCGACGAUCCGUAGCUGGUCUGAGAGGAUGAUCGGCCACACUGGAACUGAGACACGGUCCAGACUCCUACGGGAGGCAGCAGUGGGGAAUAUUGGACAAUGGGCGCAAGCCUGAUCCAGCCAUACCGCGUGGGUGAAGAAGGCCUUCGGGUUGUAAAGCCCUUUUGUUGGGAGAGAAAAGCAGCAGGUUAAUACCCCGCUGUUCUGACGGUACCCAAAGAAUAAGCACCGGCUAACUUCGUG